ACUUAGACCGUGGGUCAGGAAAUGUGUUGACUCCCCUCUUGCAGGGUCUGAUGGUCAAUUAACAUCAGAGAGAAUCACCAGGGGUCUGAUUUUCCAAGGUGAUGAGCACACUCAGCUCCACGUGGUGUCAUUGCAAUCCAGCUGUCCAUCUUCACAGGAAGGAAGGCAAUGGGCCUUGACAUGCUCCAGGAAGGUAACUAGCUCAUAUCACCUUGACUCAGUUUCCCAACAUACACUUUCUUGGGACACACUUCCCGAAGGUUAUCUGUGAAGCACAUGUACUGUGUAUGCACAUGUCUGCAUGGUAAUUUUCUUCUUUUCCUUAUUUUGCUGGAAAUAAUCUACUUACGGACAAUGCAGUCUGAACUAUUUGAAACCAAUUGAAGAAAUGCAUCUUUCCAUCACUGAGGAAGAGAAAAUUCUGGCACCAUUUCAGGGUAGAUACAGAAGCUUUAUGUCUCUUUAUUCAAAGUUACUGUAAUUGUGCUGGCACCAUUCCCAGAGCUCAGCUAAGG